rnacentral:rRNA from 1 species
UACGGAGGGUGCAAGCAUUGAUCGGAAUUACUGGGCGUAAAGGGCGCGUAGGCGGCGAGAAAAGUCAGAUGUGAAAUUCCGGGGCUCAACCCCGGAGCUGCAUUUGAAACUCUCUGGCUAGAGGGUAGUUAGGGUAAACGGAAUUCCACGUGUAGCGGUGAAAUGCGUAGAUAUGUGGAAGAACACCGGUGGUGAAGACGGUUUACUGGGCUAUAACUGACGCUGAGGCGCGAAAGCAUGGGGAGCAAACAGG